AGCGAACGCUGGCGGCAGGCCUAACACAUGCAAGUCGAGCGAAGCCUUCGGGCUUAGUGGCGGACGGGUGAGUAACACGUGGGAACGUACCUUUUGGUUCGGAAUAACGCAGAGAAAUUUGCGCUAAUACCGAAUGAGCCCUUAGGGGGAAAGAUUUAUCGCCGAAAGAUCGGCCCGCGUUGGAUUAGGUAGUUGGUGUGGUAAAGGCGCACCAAGCCUACGAUCCAUAGCUGGUCUGAGAGGAUGAUCAGCCACACUGGGACUGAGACACGGCCCAGACUCCUACGGGAGGCAGCAGUGGGGAAUCUUGCGCAAUGGGCGAAAGCUUGACGCAGCCAUGCCGCGUGAAUGAUGAAGGUCUUAGGAUUGUAAAAUUCUUUUACCAGGGACGAUAAUGACGGCACCUGGAGAAAAAGCCCCGGCUAACUUCGUGCCAGCCGCCGCCGUAAUAC
rnacentral:rRNA from 1 species